rnacentral:siRNA from 1 species
GGACUGCUGAGCUGACUGCUUCC